AUUUAUCAUUAUUUAUGUCUGAUCCGGGACGUCAAAUUUUCUGCGUUUGUCAAGUACUAAUUGUGCAUGGUAUCGCGAAGUGAUAGUAGCGAUCAUGUUACGCAGGUUACAGUGUAAAAACAAUCGCGAUCUUGUUGUGUAAAAUGCAUCUUUAUGUAACAUAACAUAAACACCUGUAGCGUUGAAUUAACUCUUACGUGUUUUAAGUUUUAUUACUCGCGCUUGUGUAUAUCACUGGAAUAUCGAAUAAAGUAUCGGACGAUCGUUGUAGUUCGAGAAGAGUAGCAGAACAAGACAGCAGAAUUCCAGCGAGAAAACGGCAUUCGUCAAAAUAAUUUCACAGGUAUUCGUCAUCCAUUCUGUCCCAAAGUUUUCGCAAAUAUGUUGUAAUAGUGCUUUUUGGUAUAUCUGGAUAAUCUUUCUCUAACAGAAUUAAAUUAUUUUCAUAAUAAAUUCUAAAUACAAACUCA
rnacentral:lncRNA from 13 species